UACGUAGGGUGCAAGCGUUAAUCGGAAUUACUGGGCGUAAAGCGUGCGCAGGCGGUUUUGUAAGUCUGUCGUGAAAUCCCCGGGCUCAACCUGAGAAUUGCGUUGGAGACUGCAAGGCUAGAAUCUGGCAGAGGGGGGUAGAAUUCCACGUGUAGCAGUGAAAUGCGUAGAGAUGUGGAGGAACACCGAUGGCGAAGGCAGCCCCCUGGGUCAAGAUUGACGCUCAUGCACGAAAGCGUGGGGAGCAAACAGG
rnacentral:rRNA from 1 species